CAAGCAUAGUGAUGAUAAGCGUAAUAUUCUGAUUCUUCUCGUGAAAGGAUAACAACCUCCUACUCAUUCUGA